GAUGAACGCUAGCGGCAGGCUUAAUACAUGCAAGUCGAGGGGUAGCAAGAUUGUAGCAAUACAAUUGUUGACGACCGGCAAACGGGUGCGGAACACGUACACAACCUUCCUACAAGUGGGGAAUAGCCCAGAGAAAUUUGGAUUAAUACCCCGUAACAUAGCGAUGUGGCAUCACAUUGCUAUUAUAGCUUCGGCGCUUGUUGAUGGGUGUGCGGCUGAUUAGAUAGUUGGCGGGGUAACGGCCCACCAAGUCUACGAUCUGUAGCUGGUCUGAGAGGACGACCAGCCACACGUGGGACUGAGACACGGCCCAGACUCCUACGGGGGGCAGCAGUGGGGAAUUUUGGACAAUGGGCGCAAGCCUGAUCCAGCAAUGCCGCGUGCAGGAAGAAGGCCUUCGGGUUGUAAACUGCUUUUGUACGGAACGAAAAGGCUCUGGUUAAUACCUGGGGCUAAUGACGGUACCGUAAGAAUAAGCACCGGCUAACUACGUG
rnacentral:rRNA from 1 species